rnacentral:misc_RNA from 1 species
CCGUGCUAAAAAGUGCGUAAUAAGAAACGACGACGAGUCAGGGGGUCUCGGCUACUUGGCCAGUUGCGAGAUCACGAGUGGGGCCUGAACUCGAAUCACGUGCAUGCCACGAGAUUGGAUGCACUGCCGGUUGAGCUGAGGCCGAACCGUGCAAAGAGAGAAUUGGAAUCUUGUUCCAAGCAGACAGCCCGUAACACGGGUGCUGCUCAAAAUAAUAAUCAUGCGCACCCACGAGAUGGUGUGUGCACUGCCGGUUGAGCUGAGGCCGAACCGCGCAGGAAGGUCGAAACACGGCUGCUACAUCCAAAAAAAAGGAGAUGCUAGCAGAGCUGCAAGCAAUGAAGUGCAAGGAAAGAACGAGAAGCAAGCUUGCUCGACGUGCGUAGAAGGGUAUGCUUCGCCUGGAGCCGUCGAGUUUUAAACAGUGAAGCCGAGUUCAGCAGGGAGAAGGUGGCAGAGUUUGGACCAUUGGACUCUGCCAUUCGGAUCUUUAAUGUUCUCGCAACACUGAUAAAAUAAGAAUGCCAUGUGCAAAAUAUGCUGUCCAGGCGGCUCUGCCGUACACUGUGACAAGCUUGCAGCUCAAGGAGAUUAAAUAAAAGACCGUGUUCAGCCUGAAUAAAGCCUAGCGAACGAGUGAGACGCRCGCGACGUGGAGACACGUGAGGCGCGUGAGACUCGCGGCUAGCGCGUGGGGGCCCGGUCGCCUUCUCCGGCGAUCGGGUGUGCUUUUGGUAACCGCGAUGUUGUCCUUUUCUGAGUCCCGCAUUGAAUGAAGCGGGCGAAAGGAUGUUACGGUGUUAGCAAAGCGUUUAUAACGCGCCGAAAGCGACCCUGCGGUCACCCGAGCGAGUUCUAAUCAAACUCGUGAGGGGCCCACAUAGGAAAACGCCUGACCCCUGGGCCGAACUAUAGUGGGUAGAUGUUUUGCUGCAUGGAAGAACACUAAGACGAAAGGGGGCUAGUACCGAUGCGGGAAGACCCUUCAAGUAAUCGAACGUGGUGAAGUGCGGCUCACGUCUCUAACUCGGAAGAUAUCCUAAAACUACCCCUGAUCGUGGAUCGCGGCAGAAAUGCGGGUCUAUACGUUUGG